GAGUUUGAUCGUGGCUCAGAUUAGAACGCUGGCGGCAUGCCUUACACAUGCAAGUCGAACGGCAGCAUGAUCUAGCUUGCUAGAUUGAUGGCGUGUGGCGAACGGGUGAGUAAUACAUCGGAACGUGCCCUGUAGUGGGGAUUAACUAGUCGAAAGAUUAGCUAAUACCGCAUACGACCUGAGGGUGAAAGUGGGGGACCGCAAGGCCUCAUGCUAUAGGAGCGGUCCGAUGUCUGAUUAGCUAGUUGGUGGGUAAAGGCCACCAAGGCGACGAUCAGUAGCUGGUCUGAGAGGACGAUCAGCCACACUGGGACUGAGACACGGCCCAGACUCCUACGGGAGGCAGCAGUGGGAA
rnacentral:rRNA from 1 species